UACGUAGGGUGCGAGUGUUAAUCGGAAUUACUGGGCGUAAAGGGUGCGUAGGUGGUCGUUUAAGUCCGUUGUGAAAUCCCUGGGCUCAACCUGGGAAUGGCAGUGGAUACUGGACGGCUAGAAUGCGGUAGAGGGUAGUGGAAUUCCCGGUGUAGCAGUGAAAUGCGUAGAGAUCGGGAGGAACACCAGUGGCGAAGGCGGCUACCUGGACCAGCAUUGACGCUGAGGCGCGAAAGCGUGGGGAGCAAACAGG
rnacentral:rRNA from 1 species